AGAAUAUUGUCCAUGAAUGUCACCUGCAUGUGAUAAACAGACUUUAUCAGCAGACAUUUGCAUAACUUUCUCUUCUUUUAAAUAAAAAAAUGAUCCAGCAACCAUAUUCAGAUGUUAAAGCUUUCAAAAUAUUGUUAUUGUUCUCACCAAUCAGCCAGUUCCAUCAUCAUCACAAGGCAGAGCACACAUGAACAUUGAAAAGUUUUCAGACCAAUGACUUCAUAACCACAUCAGGGCGCAAAAUGCAAUUCCAUUACCAAUGUACCAUCAGUAAACAAUAAAUGAAGGCAGCCAAACACAAUAUAUAUAUCUCUGUGUGUGUGU
rnacentral:misc_RNA from 1 species